rnacentral:rRNA from 1 species
ACGAACGCUGGCGGCGUGGAUAAGACAUGCAAGUCGGACGAGACUUCGUUUUGAUAGCAAUAUUGAGCGAAGUUUAGUGGCGAACGGGGUGCGUUAACACGUGGGCAACCUGCCAAGAAGUGGGGGAUAGCUCGCCGAAAGGCGAAUUAAUACCGCAUGUGAUGAGAGGAGACAUCUUUUCAAAAUUAAAGUCGGGGCAACCUGACGCUUCUUGUGGGGCCCGCGGCCUAUCAGCUUGUUGGUGAGGGGUAAUGGCUCACCAAGGCGAUGACGUGGUAGCUGGUCUGAAGAGGACGACCAGCCACACUGGGACUGAGACACGGCCCAGACACCUACGGGUGGCAGGCAGUCAAGAAUUUUUCUCAAUGGGGAAACCCUGAAGGAGCGACGCCGCGUGGAGGAUGAAGGUCUUCGGAUUGUAACUCCCUGUCAUUUGGGAACAAUGCUACCGAGUUAACUGUUCGGUAGUUGAUAGUACCAGAAGAGGAAGAGACGGCAACUCUGUGCCAGCAGCCGCGGUAAUACAGAGGUCUCAAGCGUUGUUCGGAUUCAUGGGCGUAAAGGGUGCGUAGGCGGCGCGGUAAGUCGGGGUGUGAAAUCUCGGGGCUUAACUCCGAAACUGCAUUCGAUACUGCCGUGCUUGAGGACUGGAGAGGGAAGACUGGAAUUUACGGUGUAGCAGUGAAAUGCGUAGAUAUCGUAAGGAAGACCAGUGGCGAAGGCGGGUCUCUAGACAGGUUCCUGACGCUUGAAGUACGAAGGCCAGGGGAGCAAACGGGAUUAGAUACCCGGUAGUCCUGGCAGUAAACGGUGCACGUUUGGUGUGGGAGGAUUCGACCCCUUCUGCGCCGGAGCUAACGCGUUAAACGUGCCGCCUGGGGAGUACGGUCGCAAGAUUAAAAACUCAAAGAAAUUGACGGGGGCCCGCACAAGCGGUGGAGUAUGUGGCUUAAUUCGAUGCAACGCGAAGAACCUUACCUGGCCUUGACAUGCAUCUCUAAACCGGUGAAAGCCGGCGAGUGUAGCAAUACACAAUUUGCACAGGUGCUGCAUGGCUGUCGUCAGCUCGUGUCGUGAGAUGUUGGGUUAAGUCCCGCAACGAGCGCAACCCCUGUGAACUGUUGCCACCAAGCCGUGAGGCUUGAGCACUCUGUUCAGACUGCCCCUUUUCAAGGGGAGGAAGGUGGGGACCGACGUCAAGUCAGUAUGGCCCUUACGGCCAGGGCUGCACACGUACUACAAUGCCCAGUACAGAACGAUCCGAGACCGCGAGGUGGAGGAAAUCUAGUAAAACUGGGCUCAGUUCGGAUUGAAGUCUGCAACCCGACUUCAUGAAGCCGGAAUCGCUAGUAAUGGCGUAUCAGCUACGACGCCGUGAAUACGUUCCGGGCCUUGUACACACCGCCCGUCACAUCAUGGGAGUCACUUGUAGCCGAAGUGCAUGUGCUAACCCGCAAGGGAUGCAGUGCCCUACGCUAUGAGCGGUAACUGGGAUG